rnacentral:rRNA from 1 species
CCAGCAGCCGCGGUAAUUCCAGCUCCAAUAGCGUAUAUUAAAGUUGUUGCAGUUAAAAAGCUCGUAGUUGGAUUUCUGCCGAAGACGUCCGGUCCGCCCUCUGGGUGUGCACCGGUUCGGCUUUGGCAUUCUUCUGGAGAACGUGGUGCACUUGAGUGUGUGCUGCGGUAUCCAGGAAUUUUACUUUGAGAAAAUUAGAGUGUUUCAAGCAGGCAAUCGCCUUGAAUACUGCAGCAUGGAAUAAUAAGAUAGGACUUUAGUCCUAGCUUGUUGGUUUCUGGGACUGAAGUAAUGAUUAAUAGGGAUAGUUGGGGGCAUUCGUAUUUAACUGUCAGAGGUGAAAUUCUUGGAUUUGUUAAAGAC